CACGGAAUUGCUAUUACAUGGGCAUUCCCUCAGCUCACGAAUUUGCUAUUACAGGGGUUGGGGGUCUGAAUACCUAUUUAACGCCCCACCGUUUAGGUUUUUAGACCAAAAUAUCCUGCCUCUCUUUUUCCCAAAAUUCAUCACUCCAGAUUUCUUCCUCCCCAAAUCAAACAUCCAUUCGCCCUUCAUCUUCAUCUCCUACGUUUUCUUUUUCUUUUUUUUCCUGAUUCCUUUUAGUUAAAGUUCAUUCAUCUUCAUCUCCCCAAAUAUUUUAAAUCUAGAAGUACCAGCAAAGUACUGAGAACUCCUCAUCAGGAAACUGCCUUUGCAAAGGCUCGUUCGUGAAAUUUCCCAAGACUUUGAAGGUACAUGUUAAGAGAUCAGUCUUGGGAGAAGAAGUUGCCAUUCCAAGUGAAUCAGACAAGUCUUCUCACUUUGUCAAACCUCCAAAGCCUCUUGUCCGGAAUAGCAAGCUAGUAUUGGUAGAUUUGGCAGGCUCAGAGCGUGUUCAAAAGUCAGGUGCUUAUCUUUUCUUCCCUUCUAGUGGCAAAUCGGUUGCAUGCUGCAUAUCAAAGAGCAUUUUCAUUUUUUGCCACCUAAGAUUUUUAAGCAUUGCAUCUCAUAUAUAUAUCUUUGGCAAAGAAGUUAUAUUUCCUAUCCAACCUAUAUAUACCUGUAUACUUUCUUAAGUGCUAGUGCUGGCGUUACUUAUGAGUUGGAUCCGGUUGGUAGAUGAUGAGUUUGAUUCUCUUUGCUUCUAGCAAGAAGUGAGGGACACAUGUUAGAAGAAGCUAAGUCUAUUAACCUGUCACUGAGUGCUUUGGGAAAGUGUAUUAAUGCUUUAUCAGAGAAUAGCGCUCAUGUGCCCAUUCGUGAUUCAAAACUUACGAGGCUACUCAGAGAUUCUUUCGGAGGUACUGCCAAGACCUCAUUAAUUGUGACAAUUGGCCCUUCCCCACGACAUCGAGGAGAGACUGCAAGUACGAUAUUGUUUGGUCAAAGGGCAAUGAAGGUGGAGAAUAUGUUGAGAAUAAAGGAAGAGUUUGAUUAUAAAAGUUUGGCUAGAAGGCUUGAAAUACAGCUGGACAAGCUCAUUGCAGAAAAUGAAAGGCAAUAGAAGGCUUUUGAUGAUGAAGUUGAAAGAAUGAACUUAGAAGCACAAAACCGUGUCUCUGAGGUUGAGAGAAAUUUCACAGAUUCCUUAGAGAAGGAACAACUAAAGUGCCAGAUGGAAUAUAUGGAAUCAGUUAAGAAGCUGGAGCAAAAGAUGAUAGAAAAUCAACGGAAGCAUCAACAUGAUGGCUUCAUGAAGGACAAAUGUAAUGGGGAGGUACUUUGCAUCAAGAACCAUAUCUUGUUUCAUGUUAAGUUUAUCAGGUGAAUUCAUGGCUAGCGAGUUGGAAACUUGUCUUGAUCAGGGAUUUAAAUAGCGGACCGAUUUUGGAAUAGCUGCCGUUAUAUAGCGGUAGUGCCACCGCUCAAA